GCGGUGAAAAUAACUGUAAACGAUAAAUUGUAACAGACAGAGAAUACACAACGAAAUAAACAAAAUUUUUAAUAGAGAAAACCCAUGCUUUUGCUUUGCAACUGUUAAAAAAUUUUUGAAACCAAGUUUGGUAUUUGGGAAAAUUGAAUGAAUGAGUUGCAGAAAUAUGGUUGGGAAAAGAGCAUACCCAUAAUAAAAUGGUGGACUAGACUGGAUAUAAAAAAAGAUGCAAAUUAACAAAAAAGGAAUAUUAAAUGCGACUCUCUUGACGACGGAAACAGGCUUUACUAUUUUGGAGGAUGGUUCUAUGUUUAAGCUGAAGACAAAGCAUAUGACAUAUCCAAUCCAACUCAAAUAACCAAAGAAAACAAUAGAUCGAAGAAGAAGCCAAUCGUAACGUUGUAGGUAACGUAGUCCAGAAAGAACCGUUUGGCUAAAGUGGAAACAAUGCUCAAUAGCAAUUUCAUAUUCACCAGAUUCUAUGUCAGCAAUAACUGAGUUGUAAAAGGAUGCUUGUACCUCUGUAUA